GACGAACGCUGGCGGCGUGCCUAACACAUGCAAGUCGAACGAAGUGGCGAACGGGUGAGUAACGCGUAAUCAACCUGCCCUUCAGAGGGGGACAACAGUUGGAAACGACUGCUAAUACCGCAUACUGAAGGAGGGGAUUGCGUCGGAUUAGCUAGUUGGAGGGGUAACGGCCCACCAAGGCGAUGAUCAGUAGCCUGGCUGAGAGGGUGAACGGGCAAAAUGGGACUGAGACAAGGCCCAGAAUCCUACGGGAGGCAGGAGUGGGGGAACUUCCGCCAUGGAGGGAAGUCUGGCGGAGCAACGCCGCGGGAGUGAUGACGGCCUUCGGGUUUUAAAGCUCUGUUAAUCGGGACGCGGUACCGGAAUAGAAAGCCACGGCUAACUACGUGCCAGCAGCCGCGGUAAUUC
rnacentral:rRNA from 1 species